rnacentral:rRNA from 1 species
GAUCAUUAUGGAUUAACCUUGAUGUGGUGGUAGCUGGCUUUCCGAACCAUGUGUUCCCCCUUCUUCUUAUUCUUUCCACCGGUGCCCCUUUGGUAUUCUGGGAUACCUCUGGAGGAAAUUGGGAUUUGGGAUUGCUGUGCUGUAAAAGUCGGCUCUCCUUGCAUUUCCAAGACUAUGUUUUUAUAUACACCAAAGAAUGUUUAAAGAAUGUCAUCAAUAGGAACUUGCUUCCUAUAAAAACUAUACAACUUUCAGCAACGGAUCUCUUGGCUCUCGCAUCGAUGAAGAACGCAGCGAAAUGCGAUAAGUAAUGUGAAUUGCAGAAUUCAGUGAAUCAUCGAAUCUUUGAACGCACCUUGCGCUCCUUGGUAUUCCGAGGAGCAUGCCUGUUUGAGUGUCAUUAAAUUCUCAACCUUCCAGCUUUUAUUAGCUUGGUUAGGCUUGGAUGUGGGGGUUGCGGGCUUCACUUAUGAGGUCGGCUCUCCUUAAAUGCAUUAGCGGAACUUUUGUGGACCGUCUAUUGGUGUGAUAAUUAUCUACGCCGUGGAUGUGAAGCAGCUCUAUGAAGUUCAGCUUCUAACCGUCCAUUGACUUGGACAACUUUGACAAUUGACCUCAAAUCAUGUA